rnacentral:tRNA from 1 species
ACCGGUGUGGCUCAGUGAGUAGAGCGUUGGCCUGCGGACUCAAGGGUCCCGGGUUCGAUUCCGGUCAAGGGCA